rnacentral:lncRNA from 1 species
GUCAUUCGGAGCUCACACUAAAACUUAUUUAAAUCAGAGCUGAAGAAUCAUUUCGCGCAAUCCGCGUAAUAAAGUGAAGAGGACUUAGGGAGCCUCAACCAGAAAACACGAGAGUGAAGACCCUUACAAAGAAAUUUUGCUGUUGAAACACCCUGCCCAAGACAGGAAGGUUCGCCCAUACUCCAUCUACAUGUUCUUGGGGCUCAAAGUUAAAAAUUUGUUGCUAAGCCAAAAAGAUUCCUCAAUAUGCCUCAAACCAGAACACUGCACAAACAAGGCACAGAAGAAUCUGUCUAUAGACUACCAUCAGGAAGACUUGACAUGCAGAAAUACCCAACUCUUCAGCCAUUGCUAAGUUAUUCGUCUAUGUAGUUAAAGGCCUCUUAGGCUUAAAAAUGUCUUCACAGAGAGCAUACAACCACUUCAUAGACCUUAAAGAGAAGGUCACACAGUUCCAUGUUCUGACACAAAGUACCCACUGUUCAAUGUACCAUUUUUUAAUUUUUUUUUUCCAAAUAAAAAUUGUAUAUCUGUG